UAGAGAAAAUAGAAAAAGAAAAUCGGCUGGAACAGUUAGAAAGAAAUAAAAAGGACAAAAAAAAAGAAGAAAUAUUGAAGGAAAGUGGUGCCCUCUGCACCACCUGAUGAAGGUACUUAGACACAGAGAGGAAGGAACCAUCCUAUCCAACACAACAAGGAUGCCAUAUUGAUUCGAUGAGGAUCACCAUUGGAAUUUCCUCUUACGAAAAAAUCAAAUUCUUUUCAAUUGCAAUGCGAACUUACGACGGUACAUUGCAUAUAGAAGUUGAAGUAUUUGCUUGUCCCCGAGGAAGUCGAGGUAAAUACCUUUCUGUUGACGACAGGGAAGAGAAUCGCGUGUCCUAGUUUUGUGAAACUCGAUGGACCACACGAUGCAUCUAUCUAUCUCUUUCUCUCAUGCACAAACACACACACAUACAUUCACUCUUUCUGAUACGGUAUCUUGAAGCAAGUGUUGUAUUCGAUAUACCUAGGUGUAUAUAUAUAUAUAUAU